rnacentral:rRNA from 1 species
GAUGAACGCUGGCGGCGUGCCUAAUACAUGCAAGUCGAGCGAACAGACGAGGAGCUUGCUCCUCUGACGUUAGCGGCGGACGGGUGAGUAACACGUGGAUAACCUACCUAUAAGACUGGGAUAACUUCGGGAAACCGGAGCUAAUACCGGAUAAUAUAUUGAACCGCAUGGUUCAAUAGUGAAAGACGGUUUUGCUGUCACUUAUAGAUGGAUCCGCGCCGCAUUAGCUAGUUGGUAAGGUAACGGCUUACCAAGGCAACGAUGCGUAGCCGACCUGAGAGAGUGAUCGGCCACACUGGAACUGAGACACGGUCCAGACUCCUACGGGAGGCAGCAGUAGGGAAUCUUCCGCAAUGGGCGAAAGCCUGACGGAGCAACGCCGCGUGAGUGAUGAAGGUCUUCGGAUCGUAAAACUCUGUUAUUAGGGAAGAACAAAUGUGGAAGUAACUAUGCACGUCUUGACGGUACCUAAUCAGAAAGCCACGGCUAACUACGUG